rnacentral:rRNA from 1 species
GUCCACGCCCUAAACGAUGAUGACUAGUUGUUGGAGGAGUUAAAUCCUUUAGUAACGUAGCUAACGCGAGAAGUCAUCCGCCUGGGGAGUACGGUCGCAAGAUUAAAACUCAAAGGAAUUGACGGGGCCCGCACAAGCGGUGGAUGAUGUGGUUUAAUUCGAUGCAACGCGAAAACCUUACCUACCCUUGACAUGCUAGGAACGCUGCAGAAAUGCAGCGGUGCCCGAAAGGGACCUAGACACAGGUGCUGCAUGGCUGUCGU